rnacentral:rRNA from 1 species
GACGAACCACACAAACGUUAUUCGGAAUUACUGGGCUUAAAGGGUGCGUAGGCGGCGCGGAAAGUUGGGUGUGAAAUCCCUCGGCUCAACCGAGGAACUGCGCCCAAAACUACCGUGCUCGAGGGAGAUAGAGGUGAGCGGAACUUAGGGUGGAGCGGUGAAAUGCGUUGAUAUCCUAAGGAACACCCGUGGCGAAAGCGGCUCACUGGGUCUUCUCUGACGCUGAGGCACGAAAGCUGAGGGUAGCGAACGGGG